GGCCCACUUCAUUUUAUUUAUCAAAUUAUUGAUCCCCUUAUUGGCAUUGCAUACCUCAACAUUGUUUUAGAGGGGGGAAAAAUUAAUUGACCUCAUUCAAGUCCGUUAAUUAUAUAUACUUGAUUUUUCCAAAGCUAGGAUCAUCAAAAACACCCUAAUGGCUGGCUAAUUAACAUCUUUAUGUACCCUAACCUAUUGAGAUCUCUUGUACAAGGAUAUUGCUAUUGAUUUUUGGAAGCAUAACUAGCCGAGGAAGACGAGUAAGCAAGUGAACAAUGAGAAGAGUUUUGAAGCAGCAACAGCUGAGCCGGGGUCACUGAGGACGAUGAAUACGACGGGGUAGUUUCUGUGGCUUUUGUGGAGUUAUUGGUGGUCGGCUUGUGGGCCUCGCUCCCUACUGCAGGCUCGUGUCGAAUUUCUUUCAAUAAUACUGCUACAUCUUUCAUUGUCGGGCGAUCCUCUGCGCGAUUGCUCGUGCAAAGGAGAGAGAUUCCCAGUGCUUGAAGCAUUUCUUGUAUUUGUGUAUCCGGGUGGCCUUGUAGUUUUUGAUCAAGAAUCUCCACUGGGUCCUUCUUACUCUUCAGCUGCUCCCUCACCCAUUGGAUCACAUGUUGGCCCUCAGGGAAUGAUGGAUCCACUGGCUUUUUUCCUGUUAUCAUCUCCAAAAGCACUACUCCAUAGCUAUAAACAUCGCUCUUCUCCGUGAUUUUCAGCAUGCAUGCAUAUUCUGCAAGUUUCAAACCAUUUUUGUAAGCAUGCAACACACAAGACGACAAUUAAAUGUAAUACCCAUUUUAAACUCUUAAUUAGCACAAAAAACCCCGUCUUGGUUAAGUCUCCAACAAUCUAAUCACCCCAUUUGUCUCAUCCCCUACAUGAUAUUCAGAUAGAAAGCGACUCCAACUUCCCUCAGAUACGCUACUACUUAAUUCAGGUUCUGAAAUGGGGAUUUCAUGCUAAUCCAAAUCUAAUUAAUUAGAAAAUGAAAAUGAAAACUCACCAGGUGCCAUGUAACCAUAGGACCCUGCAAAUUGUGGGUUCGCCGAGAACGAACCCUGCUCAUCUUCAACCAGCCUAGCCAACCCGAAAUCUGCUAAACACGCCUCGUAUCUGUCUCCAAGUAAAAUAUUAUGGGCUUUCACAUCCCGGUGCAAGAUCGCCGGUACGCAGUCAUGAUGUAAAUAGGCUAAUCCCUCCGCCACGCCCAAUGCUAUCUUGAACCUUGUCUCCCACUCUAUUAGUCCAACACUUCCUUCAUGUAACAAUUCUCCUAAUGUGCCAUUACUCAAGUAAUCAUAAAACAGUAAUUUCGUUUUCCGAUUAGCUCCCCACCCCAAUAACCGUACGAUAUUUCGGUGUCGAAUUCUCGCCAAUGUCGCAAUCUCGGAUGAAAAUGAUGCUGCCGCGAUUUUCUCUGCUGACUUGAAUCUUUUAACGGCCACCGUCGUACCGGACGGGAGGGUCACCUUAUAAACGACGCCGGAUCGCCCGCGUCCUAUGACAUUGUCGGCUGUCAAGGAUCGUGCCACGUCUUCAAUUGACAAGUCGAGUUUCUGGUAUAAAGUCACCUCCCAUGGUGGGCCCAUCUCAAUGUCGGUAUCGCUGUUGAGAUCGUAAUCGCGGGACCCGUGACGUCGUUUUUUGCCCGCAAGGAUAAUAUAGAGCGCCGCCAGUAGGAGCGCACAUGCGGUGCAAAGUAGCACCACCAUAGCCACACGCGCCGCCGUCACGUGUUUCAUGCGCUUGCCAUUAGCACUGGUGCACUGAUUGCCGGGGAAGCAUAACUCGGGGUUGCCGGAGAGGACGCUGAGGGGUAGCUUCGAGAAGAAUGGUGUGUCCGGUACUAGCCCUGACAAAUUAUUGUGCGAGACAUUGAGAACGACGAGAUUUUGCAGGUUUGCGAGAUACCUCAGAUCGCCGGAGAGCUGGUUGUGAGAGAGAUCCAGGAUCCCAAGCUUAUCUAACUCCGUGAACUCUUCCGGAAUCUGACCAGUGAGUUGGUUACAGCUCAGAUUCAAUGCAAUUUCCAGCGAUGGAAUCUUUGCCACGCUCGACGGAAUAUUACCUGAGAGCUGGUUGCUGCUCAGGUCCAAUAACUGUAGCUUGGAGCAGGAACCAAGUUGAUUCGGAAUCGAUCCUGAGAACCGAUUCUUGGCCAGAAUGAGUUUGGUGAGUGAAUGCAGCGAGCCAACACUUGGACUCAAAGUGCCGUCGAUCAGGUUAUCAGAAAAAUCAACUAAUUGCAGUGAAACAAGUUCGCUUAAACUUUGUGGCAAGUUACCAGAAAUAGAAUUUGAAUGCAAAUCCAAGAACGUGAGAUUCUGACAACCAGAGAAUUCCUCUGGUGUAACUCCGGUGAGACGAUUGGAUCCGAGAUCCAAAAAGUUCAAGUUCUUCAAGUUUCCAAUCUGCGGUGGAAUUGAUCCAGUGAGCUUAUUGUCGUUGGCCCUAAAUCGAAUGAGCGAGGAGCAAUUCCCAAUAUCGGGCGGAAUUUCACCGGAGAGAUUGUUGGAGAGGAGCAACAGUUUGUUGAGUUGCUUAAGCUGAAAUAUUCCCUUGGGAAUGGGGCCCAUAAGGCCGUUUUGAGACAAAUCGAUAGCCUCCAAAUUGUGACAGUUGGAAAGGGUAGUUGGUAUAUUGCCCUCAAGCUUGUUCUGCCACAGGAACAACAGCGUCAGAUUUGAUAAGUUACCCAAUUCAGGAGGAAUUGCACCGGUGAUCUGAUUGUUGUCGAGCUCUAUGUGUGUGAUCUUCUGGCAGUUUCCCAGCAGAUUGGGGAUUUCGCCGGAGAUUUGAUUGACACUUAGUUGAAGUUCUUGGAGUUCAGUUAAAUUGCCAAAUGAUUGAGGUAUAGCUCCGGUUAGUGAAUUCAUGGAUAUAUCGAUGACCAGCAUUUGGUUGCAGUUUCCUAGCUCUGGCGGGAUGAUGCCAACAAGGUUGUUCUGCCAGAGCAAUAGGUUUUUCAGAUUUGGGAGAUUGCCUAAUGUGUUUGGAAUGGAUCCGGUGAGAGAGUUUUCAUAAAGAUAGAUGUUUUCCAGUUGGGUGCAGUAGCCGAGUUCUGGAGGGAUUUGGCCAGAAAGGAGGGAAGUAUAGAUGGCAAUGGUUUGGAGUUUCUUUAAGAGGCCCAGACUUGGGGGGAGAAAACCUGAUAUGCUUGUUUCUGCGAGCCCUAGCAGCACCAAGUUGCUGCAGUUGCCAAUUUCUUGAGGCAAUGGGCCUUCAAGAUUCUUGUUGCCACCUGCUCUAAUUACUUGAAGAUUCUUUAACUUGCCUAUGUUGUAUGAUAGGCCACCACUAAGUUGGUUGUCAUAGAGGAUGAGCCAUUUCAAUCUUGUCAGAUUUCCGAUUUCGGCUGGAAUUGAGCCUUCAAGUUUAUUGGAGUUGAGAUAUAAUUCUUCAAGCUUGAGCAAGUUGCAGAGCUCACUUGGGAUUUCACCUGUUAAGGCAUUGUCGCUCAAGUCCAAGCUUGUCAACUGGGAAAGACCUCCAAUCUCUUUUGGGAUGGAACCAGUAAGGUUGGUUCCGGAUAAAAUGAGCUUGUUCAAGGAAAACAGUGAGGUGAAAUUGGAGGGCACGUUUCCAAACAAAUCCACAUACCUCAAUUCCAAUGCCACCACUUGAUUGUUAAAAUUGCAAAUGACUCCAAACCAUUCGCAGGGAGUUUCAUCGGUAGCCUCCCAAUUACUCAAGACCUCAGGCAAUCCGUUGAAGCAUGUCUUCCAUGAGAGAAGAGUUUGGCCUUGUUGAUUAACGGCGAAAGUUGCAAAAGGAAAAGGAAAUAGGAGGACAAAAGAGAGGAUGGAGAAGGAGAAGAAGGUCCAUGGAUUUACAGGCAUUACAGCUAUGCUACGAACUCCAAUGAAAGGAACAGAAAGAAAGGUUUGAGCCUAGGGAGUGACAAUGGGAGAAACCAAAUCAUGUCUUGCGGGCUCUAUGUUUUGUCAAAUUUGUAUAAAAUAGAAGUGCAUUGUAUAAACAAAUUGAAAGAAACCCAUAAUCUCGGGAUCCAAGAAACAGCUAGGCCAUGAUGUUUGUGCAGAGAUUAAUGGAAUUUUAGAUGGGUGUUUUAGGCAUUUGUUUCUGGUGGAGAGGUGGGGAGGGAGGAUAACUGUAUUUUAAUUUGAAUGGGUGGGUGAGUGAGUGAGUGAGUGACUUUGUCUAUAGUUUUUUAGUAUAAGCUUUUUAUCUUUUUAUCUGUGGCCUUGGACUAAAU
rnacentral:misc_RNA from 1 species